UUUUUAUUUAAUAUUUCUUCUUCUUUCUGUCUUUUCAGAUGAGAUCAAAAUGUGAUCUGAAUGUACCAAGUAAUACAAAAGCUGAUAUGAACCUGAAUUCUUCCCAAAGGAAGAAAACUGCAAAUGCCAGAGCCCCAAUUUAGCAAACAGAGGCACUAAAUUUCCAAUGAAAAGUGUUUUUAAGCCAGCAGCAUGGGUUGAAAGGAGUGGAAAGGAAAAUCUGAAGAGAUAGAUAGAAUACUUCAUCUUUCCAUUCAACAUGUCUUAUGAGAAUCUGCUAAGACACAUAAUGUAUAACAAUUCAUUAUAGAAAGGAAAAUGAAAUAAUCUCAAUAAAAAAUUUUCA
ensembl:lincRNA